rnacentral:misc_RNA from 1 species
UCACGGUCUCAAGCUCGGCUUGUUGUUGGGCCCUCUGUCACCUGGUGACAGGCCCGAAAGACAAUGACCGGUGGAACAGACUCCACAUGCAACGAGCUUAUCACAGCACGCAUCUGGCAGUUGUGUGACCCGGUUUUCACCUAUAUAUAAUAUAUUAUAUAUAUAUUCUCCA